GCUUCUCUUGAGAGCGGCGGACGGGUGAGUAAUGCCUAGGAAUCUGCCUGGUAGUGGGGGAUAACGUUCGGAAACGGACGCUAAUACCGCAUACGUCCUACGGGAGAAAGCAGGGGACCUUCGGGCCUUGCGCUAUCAGAUGAGCCUAGGUCGGAUUAGCUAGUUGGUGGGGUAAUGGCUCACCAAGGCGACGACCCGUAACUGGUCUGAGAGGAUGAUCAGUCACACUGGAACUGAGACACGGUCCAGACUCCUACGGGAGGCAGCAGUGGGAAUAUUGGACAAUGGGCGAAAGCCUGAUCCAGCCAUGCCGCGUGUGUGAAGAAGUCUUCGGAUUGUAAAGCACUUUAAGUUGGGAGGAAGGGUUGUAGAUUAAUACUCUGCAAUUUUGACGUUACCGACAGAAUAAGCACCCCCUAACUCUGUGCCAGCAGCCGCGGUAAUACAGAGGGUGCAAGCGUUAAUCGGAAUUACUGGGCGUAAAGCGCGCGUAGGUGGUUUGUUAAGUUGGAUGUGAAAUCCCCGGGCUCAACCUGGGAACUGCAUUCAAAACUGACUGACUAGAGUAUGGUAAGGUGGUGGAAUUUCCUGUGUAGCGGUGAAAUGCGUAAUAUAGGAAGGAAC
rnacentral:rRNA from 1 species